rnacentral:rRNA from 1 species
GACGAACGCUGGCGGCGUGCCUAAUACAUGCAAGUCGAGCGAUCGGAACUAACAGAUUUACUUCGGUAAUGACGUUAGGAAAGCGAGCGGCGGAUGGGUGAGUAACACGUGGGGAACCUGCCCCAUAGUCUGGGAUACCACUUGGAAACAGGUGCUAAUACCGGAUAAGAAAGCAGAUCGCAUGAUCAGCUUUUAAAAGGCGGCGUAAGCUGUCGCUAUGGGAUGGCCCCGCGGUGCAUUAGCUAGUUGGUAAGGUAAAGGCUUACCAAGGCGAUGAUGCAUAGCCGAGUUGAGAGACUGAUCGGCCACAUUGGGACUGAGACACGGCCCAAACUCCUACGGGAGGCAGCAGUAGGGAAUCUUCCACAAUGGACGCAAGUCUGAUGGAGCAACGCCGCGUGAGUGAAGAAGGUUUUCGGAUCGUAAAGCUCUGUUGUUGGUGAAGAAGGAUAGAGGUAGUAACUGGCCUUUAUUUGACGGUAAUCAACCAGAAAGUCACGGCUAACUACGUGCCAGCAGCCGCGGUAAUACGUAGGUGGCAAGCGUUGUCCGGAUUUAUUGGGCGUAAAGCGAGCGCAGGCGGAGGAAUAAGUCUGAUGUGAAAGCCCUCGGCUUAACCGAGGAACUGCAUCGGAAACUGUUUUUCUUGAGUGCAGAAGAGGAGAGUGGAACUCCAUGUGUAGCGGUGGAAUGCGUAGAUAUAUGGAAGAACACCAGUGGCGAAGGCGGCUCUCUGGUCUGCAACUGACGCUGAGGCUCGAAAGCAUGGGUAGCGAACAGGAUUAGAUACCCUGGUAGUCCAUGCCGUAAACGAUGAGUGCUAAGUGUUGGGAGGUUUCCGCCUCUCAGUGCUGCAGCUAACGCAUUAAGCACUCCGCCUGGGGAGUACGACCGCAAGGUUGAAACUCAAAGGAAUUGACGGGGGCCCGCACAAGCGGUGGAGCAUGUGGUUUAAUUCGAAGCAACGCGAAGAACCUUACCAGGUCUUGACAUCUAGUGUCAUUUGUAGAGAUACAAAGUUCCCUUCGGGGACGCUAAGACAGGUGGUGCAUGGCUGUCGUCAGCUCGUGUCGUGAGAUGUUGGGUUAAGUCCCGCAACGAGCGCAACCCUUGUUAUUAGUUGCCAGCAUUAAGUUGGGCACUCUAAUGAGACUGCCGGUGACAAACCGGAGGAAGGUGGGGAUGACGUCAAGUCAUCAUGCCCCUUAUGACCUGGGCUACACACGUGCUACAAUGGGCAGUACAACGAGAAGCGAGCCUGCGAAGGCAAGCGAAUCUCUGAAAGCUGUUCUCAGUUCGGACUGCAGUCUGCAACUCGACUGCACGAAGCUGGAAUCGCUAGUAAUCGCGGAUCAGCACGCCGCGGUGAAUACGUUCCCGGGCCUUGUACACACCGCCCGUCACACCAUGGGAGUCUGCAAUGCCCAAAGCCGGAGGCCUAACCUUCGGGAAGGAGCCGUCUAAGGCAGG